rnacentral:rRNA from 1 species
UACGAAGGGGGCUAGCGUUGCUCGGAAUCACUGGGCGUAAAGGGUGCGUAGGCGGGUCUUUAAGUCAGGGGUGAAAUCCUGGAGCUCAACUCCAGAACUGCCUUUGAUACUGAGGAUCUUGAGUUCGGGAGAGGUGAGUGGAACUGCGAGUGUAGAGGUGAAAUUCGUAGAUAUUCGCAAGAACACCAGUGGCGAAGGCGGACUCACUGGCCCGAUACUGACGCUGAGGCACGAAAGCG